GAUCAUGGCUCAGAACGAACGCUGGCGGCGUGCCUAACACAUGCAAGUCGAACGAGAAAGGGCUUCGGCCCGAGUACAGUGGCGAACGGGUGAGUAGCGCGUGGGUAAUCUACCCCCGGGCGGGGGAUAACCCUCCGAAAGGAGGGCUAAUACCGCAUAAGACCACUCCCUUGCGAGGGAGUGGGAAAAGGUGGGGAUCUUCGGACCUGCCACCUGGGGAUGAGCCCGCGUACCAUCAGGUAGUUGGCGGGGUAAAAGCCCACCAAGCCUACGACGGAUAGCUGGUCUGAGAGGAUGAUCAGCCACAUUGGAACUGAGACACGGUCCAGACUCCUACGGGAGGC
rnacentral:rRNA from 1 species